UACGUAGGGGGGCAAGCGUUGUCCGGAUUUAUUGGGCGUAAAGAGCGUGUAGGCGGCUUGGUAGGUCCGCUGUGAAAACUCGAGGCUCAACCUCGAGAUGUCGGCGGAAACCACUUGGCUAGAGUCCGGAAGAGGAGAGUGGAAUUCCUGGUGUAGCGGUGAAAUGCGCAGAUAUCAGGAAGAACACCUAUGGCGAAGGCAGCUCUCUGGGACGGUACUGACGCUGAGACGCGAAAGCGGGGGGGAGCGAACAGG
rnacentral:rRNA from 1 species